CACGUAGGCACCAAGCGUUGUCCGGAUUUAUUGGGCGUAAAGAGCUCGUAGGCGGUUCGGUAAGUCGGGUGUGAAAACUCUGGGCUCAACCCAGAGCCGCCACCCGAUACUGCUGUGACUCGAGUGCGGUAGGGGAGCGGGGAAUUCCUGGUGUAGCGGUGAAAUGCGCAGAUAUCGGGAGGAACACCUGUGGCGAAAGCGGCGCACUGGACCACAACUGACGCUGAGGCGCGAAAGCUAGGGGAGCAAACAGG
rnacentral:rRNA from 1 species